rnacentral:miRNA from 1 species
ACCAUGACCUUCUAACCUCUGC